rnacentral:misc_RNA from 1 species
AAGUCUCCGUAGGAACCUGUGGAAGGAUCAUUAACACGUAUCCAACGUUAAACAACCCUGUGAACUUUCAACCGCUCUUGUAGCCCACGCGGAACAGCAAUCCCGGUAAAUCAAUUGGUUUUGAUUCGGGACCUCUGUCCAAAAGCUACAAUCGAGCAAGGAGCAGUGGCAUGGUUUCCCUGAGCAGUGCAGAAGGAUUCACUGAGUAAGGAUAACGCCUCACGGUUGCCAGAGGUCGUCACCGGCCGGACAUGUCACAGGGGUAUAUGCCCCCUCAUUCACACCUUGCCCUAUCUGUCCCCACGGAAACGUUGGGGCACAAACCGAACAACUCAAUGGAUAUCUUGGUUCGU